GGUUUUAUAGUCAAAAUGAUUGAUUUUAAAUUGCAAGUUUAAAGGUAAUGUAGUAUUUAAAACCU
rnacentral:tRNA from 1 species